ACGCUGAGAUACGAUGUCGAGCACCUACGGGUGUGAAGUCAUUGAUGCCAUGCUUCCAGGAAAAGCCUCUAAGCUUCAGAUUGUAAGGAAUCGUACCCCAAACCGACACAGGUGGUCGGGUAGAGAAUACCAAGGCGCUUGAGAGAACUCGGGUGAAGGAACUAGGCAAAAUGGUACCGUAACUUCGGGAGAAGGUACGCUCUUAUCAGUGAAGUCCCUUGCGGAUGGAGCAGACGAGAGUCGCAGAUACCAGGUGGCUGCAACUGUUUAUUAAAAACACAGCACUGUGCAAAAUCGUAAGAUGACGUAUACGGUGUGACGCCUGCCCGGUGCCGGAAGGUUAAUUGAUGGGGUUAGACUUCGGUCGAAGCUCUUGAUCGAAGCCCCGGUAAACGGCGGCCGUAACUAUAACGGUCCUAAGGUAGCGAAAUUCCUUGUCGGGUAAGUUCCGACCUGCACGAAUGGCGUAAUGAUGGCCACGCUGUCUCCACCCGAGACUCAGUGAAAUUGAAAUCGCUGUGAAGAUGCAGUGUACCCGCGGCUAGACGGAAAGACCCCGUGAACCUUUACUACAGCUUGGCACUGAACAUUGAACCUACAUGUGUAGGAUAGGUGGGAGACUAUGAAAUUGCGUCGCUAGAUGUGAUGGAGUCGUCCUUGAAAUACCACCCUUGUAGUUUUGAUGUUCUAACGUUGGCCCCUGAAUCGGGGUUACGGACAGUGCCUGGUGGGUAGUUUGACUGGGGCGGUCUCCUCCCAAAGAGUAACGGAGGAGCACGAAGGUGGGCUAAACACGGUUGGACAUCGUGUGGUUAGUGCAAUGGCAUAAGCCCGCUUGACUGCGAGAAUGACAAUUCGAGCAGGUGCGAAAGCAGGUCAUAGUGAUCCGGUGGUUCUGAAUGGAAGGGCCAUCGCUCAACGGAUAAAAGGUACUCCGGGGAUAACAGGCUGAUACCGCCCAAGAGUUCAUAUCGACGGCGGUGUUUGGCACCUCGAUGUCGGCUCAUCACAUCCUGGGGCUGAAGUCGGUCCCAAGGGUAUGGCUGUUCGCCAUUUAAAGUGGUACGCGAGCUGGGUUUAGAACGUCGUGAGACAGUUCGGUCCCUAUCUGCCGUGGGCGUUGGAAAAUUGAAAGGGGCUGCUCCUAGUACGAGAGGACCGGAGUGGACGAACCUCUGGUGUUCGGGUUGUCAUGCCAAUGGCAUUGCCCGGUAGCUACGUUCGGAAUCGAUAAGCGCUGAAAGCAUCUAAGCGCGAAGCGAGCCUUGAGAUGAGUUUUCCCUGGCACUAUAAGUGUCCUAAAGGGUUGUCGUAGACUACGACGUUGAUAGGCAGGGUGUGUAAGUGCUGCGAGGCAUUGAGCUAACCUGUACUAAUUGCCCGUGAGGCUUAACC
rnacentral:rRNA from 1 species